AGAGGAAGAUGAACGCCUACAAAUGAAACAAAGUCGCAUUACUGGUGAGGUGGGAAGCUUGUUAUCAGAGAAGACAAGCCAAGUCAUGUACAUGUGGCUAGCUAGUGAUGGAAAGGAGACUGAUAAAGAUGAUUGAAGUGUGAAAGCAUGUACAACUAGCUAGCACAUGGCAAAGGUUAAAUUUUAACUGGUAGUGCUGAAGAAACAGCAGAAGAGAAAGGUAAUUAUGCAUAUGAUGCUAUAACUGAUGGUGCGAGUAAAGAAAUGACCAUUGGUUCAGAUAUGGACCAAAGACAUUGUGAAUGAUAUGAUGAUAGGGUAUUCAUAUGAGAAAGCAGAUCAAUACAAAUGCAAACAGAUGCAGACGAAGGUUCCGAAAUCAAAGCAUUCAUGAAUCAAGGAGCGACGGUGGAUGGUAAACAAAUCUCUGCCAAUGACUAUGCAGUCAAACUGAUGCUUAUAUAUGAUGGCUUCGGAGAAGACCAGUGAAGCUAAAUGAUUCUUUAAAGAAGCAACAUUUCAAGAAAACAUCAAGCUAUUGAUACAUACGGUGCAACUUAAGCUAAGGAUGAUGAAUCUUAAGGGGUUUCAAAGGAUUGUAUGAAGGAGCAGGCCAAGGAAAUCUACGAGGUUGCUAAAGAAAAAGCAUCAGAUGCUGCAGGCAACGGGAUGCAGCUAAAGCUGAGGUUGGUGACUCUUCGAUUUCAAAGGACUCAAUGAAGGGGCAGGCUAAAGAAAACUAUGAGGUUGCCAAGGAAAAAGCAUAGGAUGCUGCGGCGAAUCUAGGAGAAACAAUAAGAACAUAGAAGCCAUGAGAAUCUAACAUGUUCUUCGUUUUACAAAGGUGAAGUUAUAUGAUGAUUUCUCUUUUGUUGGAAGUGAGAUAUAUUGUAUUCUACAAGGAGCUGGUGUAGUUUGUGUUAUCUGCUCAAGGUCAAUAGUUUGUGUUAUCGUGUGAGCUAUUUGUCGAACGUAGAUCGUAUAAAUCAACACCUGUGAGGGCUAAUACAGAAGAAGACUUGGGCCAAAAGGGAUUAUGAUAGCCUUACUGAUGCCAUGCACCUAGUGGGCAAUGGAUCUAAUUUUGGAGCACUUUUCUCACUAAAAGUUAAGUUCUAUCUCUUUUGCUAAGUUUUAUAAAUUGCUAAGCAUAAAUGUGUUGUGGCUAACAUUGACAAAAGAAAAUACCCAAAAUUACACUAGUAGAACUACCCAAAUCACCAUCUAGUGCAGUGUUUAUAUAGAACUGUAUCAUAGCUCAUAAAUUAUAUAUAAUAAAGUGUUAGAUUUCUUGAGUGACGCAUGCAUAUACGUCUUUAAAAUGUGGUGGAAAUCUAUAAAAGAUUUUAAGAUUCUAGGGUACAUGUAUUAUUGUGUAGGGUACGACCCUUCAGGCUAGAAGAAAGUAUUAAAUGGUCCCAGAAUUGAAGGGUGCACAGUGAAAGUUCUCAGAAGAUGUAGUACAUGAAGAAACAACAAGAUUAAACUGUAAAUUCAUGAAGGAAAUUAAUUGAUCUUCUGAAGAUUAUAUAAUUAAUGUCUGGAUUUUGACUAAAAAUAAUAAGAUCAUCAAAUUUAUAACUAUUGGGAUGAGUUUUUUUAAUCAUAAAAUAAAAAUAAUCCAUAAAAAUUUAGAGUCAAAAUAGCACAUACGAGGAAAAUACUUCUUGAUCUUAAUUGAAAUCUUGGAAAUAAUAAUAUGGCUGUGGUGUUGCUACCGCCUAUCUGCACGUUUAAACCCUAAUCUCAGUGGGUCAAGAAGACUCAAGAAACUGAAGAAAUUCAGAAAACCUGUUAAAUUUUAGUUAAAGUUUAAUACUUUAAUUAAAUCUUACUGAUCUUGCUUCUUCUUGGAGGCUUGUUUGCAGUUGUGCAUCCAUACUUUGAACACUUUUCUUUUCAGUCCAACUUCAUCACAAAACUGUAGAAUCUCUUGUUCAUCUUGUUUCUGAAUCUUCCACCCUAUUUUUUCCGCAAAAUCAUGCAUUUUUGCCUUCUGCUCAUCUGUGAACUUUGUUCUGAAUCUUUUCUUCACUGGCUGUUGUCCGGGGUGUGUCUGGUACAUGUCAAGAUCUUCACUUGAUGACUCCGUCGGUGCUGCACUGUUCCCACCAAACGCCACCAUGAUUGGUGGCACCUGGUGGCUGUACCUAUGGUGGUGGUGUUGCUGAUAAGGUGGCUGCAUUGUUGCAGCAGCAGCAGCAGCAACUCUAGGUGGUGGGUUUUGUAUACCCGGUAUCCAUGUGGUGGAUUGUGACUCACCUUCCACCUCUCUCCGGUGGAAACUUCGGUGGCAUUCACAAGCAGCACAUUUUAAACUUUCCGGUGUGUUUUCUUCUCCAUUAGCCAUAAACUCCCCACACCCAUCUACAACAUAAGCACCCAUGCUUGCAGCAUGGUUCUUUUGGCAUUCUCUAUAUCUUACCACCACUGCAGCCUCCACACUGUUGGAUGGUGAUGGUGAUAGUGGCGGUGGUGGCGGCGGUGGCAUUGGAUCUGGAUCUGGGUUUGGGUUUGAUUCUCUUCUUUCUCUUUGUGCUUGUUCUUGCAAUCCAUGGUGAGUGCCUCUUUGAUGCAAGUGGACACGUGGCUGAUCUAGUGCUUCAUUUGAUAAAUUCAAAGGUGCAUAAGAGAAAGAAGAAGAUGAUCCCCGGUUAAACUGAGAUGGGUUAUUGUGAUUAAUAUUUGACAUCUGAUCUCUAUCUCUCUCUCUCUCUCUCUCUCUCUCUCUCUCUUAUCUAUCUAAACACUAAACAACUACUAAAGAUUACUCUCAACUUGCAAAGACUUUCAAAUCCACUAGAAUCACAUGCUCUCUCAUAAUCUUGUUAUAAUCUUCUUCUUAUAACAAGUUGAUCUGAAAACAUAUAAGUUGGUUGAAACCUAAACCGCACUAAACU
rnacentral:lncRNA from 1 species